GUUGUUUUUCAUUUCUCCGAUCACAAAUGCAGACAUGGUUUUAUGUUUACGCGGUGCGAUAUGCAACGCAACGAGUAAAAGGACAGUAUAAGUCAUUAUAAUCAGUAAUUAUGUCCCCACUGGAUGCAACAAAUGCCUCGUUUAUA